rnacentral:sRNA from 1 species
GUGAUAGCAGUCACAAGCGUACGAUCAAUGCCACGACGGGUUCGGGAGUGACUAUUCCGAAGAGCCGGCAUAAGGGUUGAAAG